UGUUCAUCGUUUUCUUCGCGAGCCACCAUAGACAGCUGCGUCGGCCACUACUUUUGGUCAUGAAAAUUAAGAAAUAUCAUUUUUUACGAUCUUCUCCGACCCUUCUAUCUCGAUCUUAGUUCGAUUUCAAGAAAAUCCUUGGAGAAUGAAGUAGAUCUAAGGUUUUCCUUUCGAAAUACCCAUUCUUCAGUUAUCGAGAUUUCUCUGUCGAUUUGCUUUCUCUUUAUCUUUUAUUUUAAGAAAAACCCUUAAAUGGGAACUCUAACCCUCGAGGAGGCUUUAGAUCUAAAGAGAUCCACUAUAAAGCCUCCUCCUUUCCUCAGGUUCUAAAGGAAAACGAGACUCGGGCGAUUAUCCGACGACGAGAUGCUCGCACAACCCAAGGAACAUGGCAGAGGCAUACACGGUUCUGCAAUUCGGUUAUCAUCAUUAGUGAGAGAGGAGGGCGACCGAUUUGCUGUGGGGGCCAAAUCACGAGCGCGUCACUAAUGGAGAUGAUGCAGACGACGCGUGGGAAGUUUUGGAGAUCGCGCGUGCAUCUCACACGCUACUUAUCGACGGUCGAUAUGCUAGAGGGCAUACAGACCGUUGGAUCAUGAUUUGAAUCCAAAGAUUAAGCUUCGACGAAGGCGGUGCCUGAGCUUUUUAAGGUAAAAAACCCUAAUCUUUUCUAUUUUUUUGGAUCGUUGGACUCCUAUUGAUCUUACGGUGGAGAUUCGACUGAGCGAUUGUCCCAUCUUGAAUUAUAAAAAUCUUAGUUGGCUCUUUUCAUCUAGACCGUUGGAUUGGGUCAGAUCCAAUGGUUUUGGAUGAUACGACGCUAGAUGAGGUUUCAAAACCCUAGCUGUUGUUGAAUUCCUUUAGGCUUCUGGCACGUGGGUUUCCUUUAGUUGUUGUUUGGGUCACGUGGACCGCUUCACUUGGGCUUUGAGAUUAAAGUAAAUCGGGCUGCUAGAUUUGGUCUUUACUUGUAUUGGGUUAAAUGCAUAUUUUGGUGCUUGUUGGGUUUUAUAAUGUAUAUUGGUCUUUGUAACCUGAAAAUAAAACACUAAAUAAUAUUAAUUAAUUUUUUGUU